CUAUUUGCAGGUCAGGAUGUAAACUCUCAGCUGCCCUGUCUGCCUGUCAUCAUACUUCACCGCUGUGAUGGUUGGCACAUGCUCAGCCCAGGGAGUGGCACUAUUAGGAGGUGUGGCCUUGUAGAGCAGAGGGAGGCUGACAACGUCGGUCUGGAAAAGCGUUGUAAAGUUCUCCAGCAGAGGACUCACCAGUUACUAGCUUCAUCUCUUAGGUUUCCUUUCCUCCUCUCUUUCCCUGGUGUUUCCCCAACCUCAGCCAUAAGCCACAAAAGAAGCUGCAUUUCUCAAUGCUGAUAGAUGAAUUCAAGCCAGACACAAACUGGAUGAUUAGAACAUUUAUCAUCUCAUUCUCGGUGCUUGAAGUCUGAACUCAAGGUGUCCUGAAGGCUUCCCCCAACCCCUCGUUAAUUUAUUCCUUUGUUCAGUUUACAUCCCGGUCGCUGCCCCCUCUCCUCCCAGUGCCCCACCUCUAAGAAGGGGUAGGUCCCUCCUGGGGAACCAACACCCUGGCAACUCAAGUCACUACAGGACUGGUACACCCUCUCCUUCUGAGGCCAGACAACGCAGCGCAGUUACAGGAGCAGGAUCCACAGGCAGGCAAUAGAGUCAGGGUAAGCCCGGGUUCCAGGUGUUGGGGGACCCACAUGAAAAUCAAGCUGCACAUCUACUACAUAAAUUUGGGGAUGGAAGGUUGAGGGGGGCUAGAUCCAGUCUUUGUGUGCUCUUUGGUUGGUGGUUCAGUCUCUGAGAGCCCCCAAGGGUCUACUUCUGGGCGCUUGACGUUGGAACUCAAGGUGUCCUUCUGAAGGCUUUAGAAAAGUUUUUCCUUGCAUGCCUGAGUCCUGGUGUUCCAGACAGUCUGCACCAUCAUCCUUCAUUGUGAAGGUCGUUCUUGGUGGCCCAUUUCACCAUAUCUGGAUUUCACUAAAAACCCAAGGUGCUGGGUGCACCUGUGAGGGAUAAUUAGUUAACUGGAUCAUUUGAAGUGGAAAGACCUACCUUGGAUCAUUUGAGGUCAGGAGCCACACUAUAAAUCUGGGCCACACCUUCUCGUGGCCACUUUUAUAAAGGACAAGGAAGAAAGAUGCUCCUGUUCUUUGCCUGCUUGUCCUGAAGGACCCUCAUUCUUACUGAAGUGUAAGAGCUAUUAAGAAGCUUGACCUGGUAGAAAGUAGGUAGAUUAUGGGGUACGUGUGAAGGACUUUAGAGGCUUUCACCAGCCUUAUACCCACCACCUCAGGUCAAGAUUAGGCCAAGUACCAGCUUCCCACUUCAGGUCAAGGCUAGGCUAAGUUCCAUUCUCCGCCCACAGUUCUCAGGAGGAGCAGGGACAUUCUUGAAAAACCACAGAAUGUACUGACUGAUAGUCACCUGACCUUCUGGUUCCAAAUAGAGUUCGAAUGUAUGUCAUAUGCUUGCUAGCCAAUAGAUUCAAAGGUCAAUAUGCUUAGCCAAUAAGUUUAAACUGCAACCUUUCUGACAUAACCUGUACCCCUAAAAAGUAUAAAAACUGUGUUAUAGCCCGACAGUCACUCGACACGAGGGGCUGAUAGAAGGUAGACCCC
ensembl:lncRNA